rnacentral:rRNA from 1 species
GAGUUUGAUCAUGGCUCAGGAUGAACGCUGGCGGCGUGCUUAACACAUGCAAGUCGAACGAGGAAUUUUAAAUGAGACUUCGGUGGAUUUUAAAAUUCUUAGUGGCGGACGGGUGAGUAACGCGUGGGCAACCUGCCCUGUACAGGGGGACAACAGCUGGAAACGGCUGCUAAUACCGCAUAAGACCACGGAGCCGCAUGGCUCAGUGGGAAAAACUCCGGUGGUACAGGAUGGGCCCGCGUUGGAUUAGGUAGUUGGUGAGGUAACGGCCCACCAAGCCGACGAUCCAUAGCCGACCUGAGAGGGUGACCGGCCACGUUGGGACUGAGACACGGCCCAAACUCCUACGGGAGGCAGCAGUGGGGAAUCUUCCGCAAUGGGCGAAAGCCUGACGGAGCAACGCCGCGUGAGUGAAGAAUUAUUUCGGUAUGUAAAGCUCUAUCAGCAGGGAAGAAAAUGACGGUACCUGACUAAGAAGCCCCGGCUAACUACGUGCCAGCAGCCGCAGUAAC